AGAGUUUGAUCCUGGCUCAGAACGAACGCUGGCGGCAUGCCUAACACAUGCAAGUUGAACGAGAAAUCACCUUCGGGUGAGAGUAGAGUGGCGCACGGGUGAGUAACGCGUGGGAACCUGCCAAGCAGUGGGGAAUAACCUUUGGAAACGAAGGCUAAUACCGCAUACGCCCUUACCUUUAUUGGUUUGGGGAAAGAUUUAUCGCUGUUUGAUGGUCCCGCGUCCGAUUAGCUAGUUGGUAAGGUAAUGGCUUACCAAGGCACCGAUCGGUAGCUGGUCUGAGAGGAUGAUCAGCCACACUGGGACUGAGACACGGCCCAGACUCCUACGGGAGGCAGCAGUGGGGAAUAUUGGACAAUGGGCGCAAGCCUGAUCCAGCAAUGCCGCGUGAGUGAAGAAGGCCUUAGGGUUGUAAAACUCUUUCAGUGGUGAUGAUGAUGACAGUAACCACAGAAGAAGCACCGGCUAACUUCGUGCCAGCAGCCGCGGUAAUACGAAGGGUGCUAGCGUUGUUCGGAAUUACUGGGCGUAAAGAGCAUGUAGGCGGAUAGAUUAGUCAGAGGUGAAAGCCCCGAGCUCAACUCGGGAACUGCCUUUGAUACUGUUUAUCUUGAGACCGAGAGAGGGUAGUGGAAUUCCCAGUGUAGAGGUGAAAUUCGUAGAUAUUGGGAAGAACACCAGUGGCGAAGGCGGCUGCCUGGCUCGGUACUGACGCUGAGAUGCGAAAGCGUGGGGAGCAAACAGGAUUAGAUACCCUGGUAGUCCACGCCGUAAACGAUGAGUGCUAGCUGUUGGAACCUUAGGUUUCAGUGGCGCAGCUAACGCAUUAAGCACUCCGCCUGGGGAGUACGGUCGCAAGAUUAAAACUCAAAUGAAUUGACGG
rnacentral:rRNA from 1 species